rnacentral:rRNA from 1 species
AUUAAACCCCAAAAACACAAAGUUUUGGUCCUAAACUUGCCGUUGUUUUUAACCAAAAUUACACAUGCAAGCCUCAGCAUACCAGUGAAAAUGCCCACACACUCCUAAACAGAUAAACGGAGCAGGCAUCAGGAACAUCAAACUUAGCCAAUGACGCCUUGCUACGCCACACCCACACGGGCCCACAGCAGUGAUUAACAUUAAGACAUAAGCGAAAGCUUGACUUAGUUAUGACUAAUAUGAACCGGUAAAUUUCGUGCCAGCCACCGCGGUUAUACGAAAGGUUCAAAACAACGGCCUUCGGCGUAAAACGUGACUAGACAAGUGUCCAAAAAAUUAAAGAGAAACCACCGUUAGGCCGUAAAACGCUACAGCGAACUGGAACCACACCAAUAAAAUGCCUUUAAACAAAAGACUAGUUUACCUCACGAAAGCUAAGGAACAAACUGGGAUUAGAUACCCCACUAUGCUU